GCAUUUGAGAGGUGUCUGUUGGUGGCACCCCUUUGGAAAUUGGCUGUGAAUGAACCUUCUCCAGACCCACUCUCAGUUACAACUGAGAAGGACUGGGUUCAGACAGG